rnacentral:rRNA from 1 species
CAGCAGCCGCGGUAAUACGGAGGGUGCAAGCGUUGUUUGGAAUUACUGGGCGUAAAGCGCGCGUAGGCGGUUUGUCAAGUCAGAUGUGAAAGCCCUCGGCUCAACCGGGGAGGUGCAUUUGAAACUGGGAGACUUGAGUAUUGGAGGGGGUGGUGGAAUUCCCGGUGUAGAGGUGAAAUUCGUAGAUAUCGGGAGGAAUACCGGUGGCGAAGGCGACCACCUGGCCAAAUACUGACGCUGAUGUGCGAAAGCGUGGGGAGCAAACAGGAUUAGAUACCCUGGUAGUCCACGCUGUAAACGAUGUCAACUAGGUGUUGGGAUGGUUAAUCGUCCCAUUGCCGCAGCUAACGCAUUAAGUUGACCGCCUGGGGAGUACGGUCGCAAGAUUAAAACUCAAAGGAAUUGACGG